GAUGAACGCUGGCGGAGUGCCUAACACAUGCAAGUCGAGCGGCAGCGCGAGUAGUUUACUACUUGGCGGCGAGCGGCGGACGGCUGAGUAACGCGUGGGAACAUGCCCCAAAGUGAGGAAUAACUGCCCGAAAGGGUAGCUAAUGCCGCAUACGAUCUUCGGAUUAAAGGAUUUAUCCGCUUUGGGAGUGGCCUGCGUACGAUUAGAUAGUUGGUGAGGUAAUGGCUCACCAAGUCUACGAUCGUUAACUGGUUUGAGAGGAUGAUCAGUCAGACUGGAACUGAGACACGGUCCAGACUCCUACGGGAGGCAGCAGUGAGGAAUCUUCCACAAUGGACGAAAGUCUGAUGGAGCAACUCCGCGUGCAGGAUGAAGGCCUCGUCGGUAACUAGCUUAUUGUAGUGAAGAAGUAAUAGUACGGUAACGUAC
rnacentral:rRNA from 1 species